AGAGUUUGAUCCUGGCUCAGGAUGAACGCUGGCGGCGUGCCUAAUACAUGCAAGUCGAACGGAGUGCUAGAAAUAGGACUCAGUGGCGAACGGGUGAGUAACACGUAGGCGACCUGCCCCGAAGAGUGGGAUAACAGUUCGAAAGGGCUGCUAAUACCGCAUGAGGUCUCAAGAGUUAGAGGACUUGAGACGAAAAGGAGUAAUCCUGCUUUGGGAGGGGCCUGCGUCCCAUCAGCUAGUUGGUAGGGUAAGAGCCUACCAAGGCGAAGACGGGUAGGGGACCUGAGAGGGUGACCCCCCACACUGGCACUGAAACACGGGCCAGACACCUACGGGUGGCAGCAGUAGGGAAUAUUGCACAAUGGGCGAAAGCCUGAUGCAGCAACGCCGCGUGCGCGAAGAAGGCCUUCGGGUUGUAAAGCGCUUUUCGGGGAGAUGAGGAAGGACAGUAUCCCCGGAAUAAGGCUCGGCUAACUACGUGCCAGCAGCCGCGGUAACACGUAGGAGCCAAGCGUUAUCCGAAUUCACUGGGCGUAAAGCGCGUGCAGGCGGCUUGGAAAGUUGGAUGUGAAAGCUCCCGGCUCAACUGGGAGAGGACGUUCAAAACUACCGAGCUAGAGGACGGCAGAGGGAGGUGGAAUUCCCGGUGUAGUGGUGAAAUGCGUAGAUAUCGGGAGGAACACCAGUGGCGAAGGCGGCCUUCUGGGCCGCACCUGACGCUCAGACGCGAAAGCUAGGGGAGCGAACGGGAUUAGAAACCCCGGUAGUCCUAGCUGUAAACGAUGUAGACUUGGUGUAGGUGGUGUAAAAGCCAUCUGUGCCGCAGCAAACGCGAUAAGUCUACCGCCUGGGGACUACGGCCGCAAGGUUAAAAC
rnacentral:rRNA from 1 species